rnacentral:lncRNA from 1 species
ACGAAGUUUUUGACAAGUGUAAGUUCCAUAUAAAACUCACAAUAAAUGGAACUGGUGCAUCAAGAAACUCAAGCAUCCUUCCUGGUAGAACCUGAAAAUGGAGAAUCAAGAAUAUAGCAUGAUGAAGAAAAACUGAUAGUACCAAAAACCAGACAUACAUAGAACACAUGUAACACACAUUAUAAAAGGUGGUCUACCCUAAAGUGAAACCAUAUUAACUCUUUUCCUCUUUUUCUAUCCAAGGGGAGUUGACAUAAGGAAAUGGAGUGAGAUUCCAAUCAGCUAAAGAUCCAAGCAAACAAGUUACUACUGAAUACACAUCAAUUCACCUCCUUAAAGCAAAAUACUAAUAUUUUGCACAUAAUUCCUGUUAGAAAAAAAUCUGAUUUAGUUCCUGUAAAAAUAUAAAUGUCAAAAAAAGUCCAGCUAUGUUAAUCUGUUUGAGAUUCAAGGGUAAGUCCACAUGCCAAGUCACCCAUAAAGUUUCUCUAUGUAAGUUAGUGCUUUGAAUAAGAUCCUUACAACAUAGUACCUUGUAGAUCAAGGAGGAAAAAACUGUUGUAAAUGCCAAAGCUUGCAUCUUAUUUUAUCUAAUUAUGGACCUUUUCACUGGUUGAAAGGUGUUUUAAGAGCUUGACUAUGGAAAUUUGGGUAGUUCCCUGUUUUUGGUUUAGUUUGACAAUCUCUAAUUUUUUUAUUCUUUACAGAACUUUUUGAUGCAUAAUGGAUUAGCUCUAAAUAACUAAAUAAAUUAGAAAUCAUAAUUCUACUAAAUAUGGAACUACUAUAUUAUUUAUUAAACAUAAAAUUACUUAUACUAUUUAUGAGCAUAUUAUUAAAAUUUUAGUAACCUUAUGAUUUUAUUUUUAACAGUAUUCAGUUCCUAUUUGUAUUAGUAGUAUUAUUUCAUAAUUCCAUUAGCAUUGUUAUUCUUAAGUAAUCUUUACUAAAUAGGGUUAAUCUCUUUACAUGUCAAUCCUUAGUUUAAGAGAAUUGAUGGAUAUAUUGAUAGAAUAGGAAAGCUUUUGUAUACAGGUUGACAGAUUUCAAUUAUUGGAUGUUAUAUGUAAAGAAACCUUUGGUGUGAUAUAUAGGAUUUUUAUUUCAAAAAAAGGUGAUAUAUAGGAUUUUAUCCCCAAAUCCCUAAGUAGACACAUUAAGUCUAAUUUUGUCUAUUAGUUGAUAUUACAAUUAAAAAAGAUCCUACACUCAAAAAAUCAAACUCCAUAUCCAAGCAGCCUCCUUUGUGAGUCCAUUCACUAGACACCACCGUGCAAACGGUGACACCGGUCCUACCACCCAUCUAAGAUCCCACUCGACAAAGCCCCAAAUAACUGCUGCAAAAAAUGCACCAUCGGCCUUUGCAAGCUCUCCCAACCACUGCCUCUCUAUAUCCCGUCCUUUUCCAAAAUCGUGUUUCACACUACUACUCAAUCUACAACCACCACCAGAAGUAGAUCCCAUUAUCAAAACCCUGAUGUUGUUCGAUGAGCAGAAGGCAUGUGGCACCCUCAUGCGCAUGAUCCAUGAGUGGGCAUUGCAAAGUCAUGCUCUGUUUUGAUUUUCUUUAACAGGAUUUCCCCAAACCAAUUAACCUAAACAAAACCGCUUCUAACCUGUUUUCAGUAGUUCAGAAUAAUUUCCAAGUAUUUUUGCCUACUCUUCUUAUUUUUCCAGUUCUUUUCAUAAAAAUUAGCGCGAUAGAAAAAUUUUAAACAUGUGGAUCCCUAAAGAAGAGAAUAAGUCAUUAUCUAGAGCACGAAAAAUUAGCAAGUCUUUUUUAGUUGUAGCUAAGCACAAUCAAGUAGUUAAGUGAAGAAAAGAUUAGAAGUGUCCUCUAAAUUUUCGAACUCUAGUUUGUUGUGGAGAUAACAAUAAGAAACUUGUUAUUCAUGAGUAUUGUUGCAAGAACAUCAUUUCAAUCUCUGAAGUCAAAUGACUCAAUGUUUCACCACACUGCAUCUACAAUCAUACAGGUGACUUUGAUGAUUAUAUGAAUAUUUUGAUAACUCAACAAAGUCUUGUUUCUAUUUAUUCCGGUACCUACAUUGAUUAAAUAUUGUCUAAUGUAGUUUCUAUUUAUGAUUGGAGUGUUCAAUAUGGCAGGUGACAAGACUAUCAAUUAAGUCAUUUUAUGUUUGGCAUAAAAACCUGAAGAGAUGGUAAAUACGACAUCAAAAAGCACUUACAGUCAAUAAAAAAGAUAAAGAAGAGCUCAUUAAAGUUGAGAAACGAUAAGAACACAAUUUCUUCCUGAAGGGAAUAGAUUUUGAGAUUAUUCGAGAUCUUUCGCCACCUACGGAGAGUUCUAAAUUUCAAUGCGAGAAAGAACAUAAGCUAAGUUUAGUGAUAUUCAAUUCAAGGAUAAAGUUGAACUGCAGAUUGGUGCAUAUGUUAAUUUUAUCCUGCUACCAGAACUUUACCCACUUAGAACAUU